rnacentral:tRNA from 1 species
GCCGGCUUAGCUCAGUUGGUAGAGCGUCUGAUUCGUAAUUAGAAGGUCGUGGGUUCAAGUCCCACAGCCGGCUCCA